CUUGCCCCGAGAUGAGUUCUCCCUGAGACUUAGAGUCUCCUGAAGGAACGUUGAAGACGAUGACGUUGAUAGGCCGGGUGUGUAAGCGCAGCGAUGCGUUGAGCUAACCGGUACUAAUGAACCGUGAGGCUUAACCUUACAACGCCGAAGGUGUUU
rnacentral:rRNA from 1 species